rnacentral:lncRNA from 1 species
UAAAUGGUGUGAAAGAAAGUAAUUAGAGAUAUAUGACACAGAAAAUGAUUUCAGGAAAACCGAGGAAACUAGAAUGAGAUAUUUGUUACAACCGUUCAGCAAUUGCAUGAACAAGAUCUGGUUUCAGACGGCGAUCAACAAACUCCUCAAAUCUCCUUACUUUCUCAUGUUUAAUAGUGUCCAUUGCAAUCCUGAUACAAGAUAAAAUUGUGCAAGAAAAAACUUAAGCAACGCAUCAAAGAUAGAGCAGAACAAAUUAAGAAAUGAGACUCACACAUCCGGAGACAGUGAAAUAGUCACAGUUAGAACCCUAAU